rnacentral:rRNA from 1 species
AUUGAACGCUGGCGGCAGGCCUAACACAUGCAAGUCGAGCGGAUGAAGGGAGCUUGCUCCUGGAUUCAGCGGCGGACGGGUGAGUAAUGCCUAGGAAUCUGCCUGGUAGUGGGGGAUAACGUCCGGAAACGGGCGCUAAUACCGCAUACGUCCUGAGGGAGAAAGUGGGGGAUCUUCGGACCUCACGCUAUCAUAUGAGCCUAGGUCGGAUUAGCUAGUUGGUGGGGUAACUGCCUACCAAGGCGACUAUCGGUAACUGGUCUGAGAGGAGGAUCAGUCACACUGGAACUGGGACACGGUCCAGACUCCUACGGGAGGCAGCAGUGGGGAAUAUUGGACAAUGGGCGAAAGCCUUAUCCAGCCAUGCCGCGUGUGUGAAGAAGGUCUUCGGAUUGUAAAGCACUUUAAGUUGGGAGGAAGGGCAGUAAGUUAAUACCUUGCUGUUUUGACGUUACCAACAGAAUAAGCACCGGCUAACUUCGUG